rnacentral:rRNA from 1 species
AGUGAACGCUGGCGGUAGGCCUAACACAUGCAAGUCGAACGGCAGCACAGUAAGAGCUUGCUCUUACGGGUGGCGAGUGGCGGACGGGUGAGGAAUACAUCGGAAUCUACUUUUUCGUGGGGGAUAACGUAGGGAAACUUACGCUAAUACCGCAUACGACCUACGGGUGAAAGCAGGGGAUCUUCGGACCUUGCGCGAUUGAAUGAGCCGAUGUCGGAUUAGCUAGUUGGCGGGGUAAAGGCCCACCAAGGCGACGAUCCGUAGCUGGUCUGAGAGGAUGAGCAGCAACACGGGAACUGUGACACGGUCCAGACUCAUACGGGAGGCAGCAGUGGGGGAUAUUGGACAAUGGGCGCAAGGUGGAACAAGCCAUACCGCGUGGGUGAAGGAGGCCUUCUGGUUGUAAAGCCCUUUUGUUGGGAAAGAAAAGCAGCAGGUUGAUAACCCGCUGUUCUGACGGUACCCAAAGAAUAAGCACCGGCUAACUUCGUG